CUCCGAUGCUUCAAUCGCUCCAUGGUUCGCCGGUGCACUCACAGCACCACUCGCAGCAGCAGCAGCUCCAGCAGCAGCCGCCUCUACCGCAGGACCUAUCUGAGGCCCUGUGGCGUGACGUGAUCACUCCGUCACCACCGCCGCCGCCAGUUUUACCUCCUCCGCCUCAGAGGCCUAGGAGGAAUGCGCGCACGUCUACGCGCGGAGGGAUUCGCAUAGGCACCCCUCCACGUGUUAGUAGCAGCCGCUACACGUCGCUACCUGGGGAGUCUGAGACAGGGGAGUCUCAGCAUCCAGUAUCGGAGGUUACUUCUGUUCCGAUCCCGCCUCUGCCGCCGCAGAAUUUUGGAGAGCCGAUUCCGGCUUAUGCUAGUGCCGCUCAGUUCAACCCGUUCGAGCAGGUAUUCCCUCAGGGUUAUGAUUACACGGGAGACCCUUAUUGGCAAGCUGUGAACUACAGCUCACUCCCACAUAGUGGUCCACUUGGAGACCCUUGGGCUGCUGGCCCAUCUACUUUUGGUUACCCCCCGGGUUACCAGCAGCCACCGCAGCCGCAGCCUUACCAGCCGCCGCAGCCGCAGCACUACCAGCCACCACCACCGGCGCCUAUGAUGUCGCCGCCGCAGGUUCAGGAGAUCCUGCAAGGGAUUGAUAGCAUGCGACGCGAGUUUCAGCACAAUAUGCGAGAGGAUCGCCGACGCACCAGUGGC
rnacentral:lncRNA from 1 species